rnacentral:rRNA from 1 species
GACGAACGCUGGCGGCGUGCUUAACACAUGCAAGUCGAACGGUAAGACUCCUUCGGGAGUACACGAGUGGCGAACGGGUGAGUAACACGUGAGCAACCUGCCCUUGGCACUGGAAUAACAAUUGGAAACAGUUGCUAAUACCGGAUAUGACCCUGGACGACAUCGUCGAGGGUGUAAAGCUCCGGCGGCCAGGGAUGGGCUCACGGCCUAUCAGCUUGUUGGUGAGGUAACGGCUCACCAAGGCGUCGACGGGUAGCCGGCCUGAGAGGGCGACCGGCCACACUGGGACUGAGAUACGGCCCAGACUCCUACGGGAGGCAGCAGUGGGGAAUAUUGCACAAUGGGCGAAAGCCUGAUGCAGCAACGCCGCGUGCGGGAUGACGGCCUUCGGGUUGUAAACCGCUUUCAGUGCCGACGAAGGGUUUCUGACGGUAGGCACAGAAGAAGCACCGGCCAACUACGUGCCAGCAGCCGCGGUGAUACGUAGGGUGCGAGCGUUGUCCGGAAUUAUUGGGCGUAAAGGGCUCGUAGGCGGCCUGUCACGUCGGAAGUGAAAACUCGAGGCUCAACCUCGAGCCUGCUUCCGAUACGGGCAGGCUAGAGGAAAGGUAGGGGAGAAUGGAACUCCUGGUGGAGCGGUGGAAUGCGCAGAUAUCAGGAAGAACACCGGUGGCGAAGGCGGUUCUCUGGACCUUUCCUGACGCUGAGGAGCGAAAGCGUGGGGAGCAAACAGGCUUAGAUACCCUGGUAGUCCACGCCGUAAACGGUGGGCACUAGGUGUGGGACUCAUUCCACGAGUUCCGUGCCGUAGCUAACGCAUUAAGUGCCCCGCCUGGGGAGUACGGCCGCAAGGCUAAAACUCAAAGGAAUUGACGGGGGCCCGCACAAGCGGCGGAGCAUGCGCAUUAAUUCGAUGCAACGCGAAGAACCUUACCUGGGUUUGACAUAUGCCGGAAACAUCUAGAGAUAGAUGCCCCGCAAGGUCGGUAUACAGGUGGUGCAUGGCUGUCGUCAGCUCGUGUCGUGAGAUGUUGGGUUAAGUCCCGCAACGAGCGCAACCCUCGUCCUAUGUUGCCAGCACGUUAUGGUGGGAACUCAUAGGAGACUGCCGGGGUCAACUCGGAGGAAGGUGGGGAUGACGUCAAGUCAUCAUGCCCCUUAAGUCCAGGGCUUGACGCAUGCUACAAUGGCUGGUACAGAGGGCUGCAAAACCGCAAGGUCGAGCGAAUCCCAAAAAGCCAGUCUCAGUUCGGAUUGGGGUCUGCAACUCGACCCCAUGAAGUCGGAGUCGCUAGUAAUCGCAGAUCAGCAACGCUGCGGUGAAUACGUUCCCGGGCCUUGUACACACCGCCC